UUGGCUUACCGUGUGGGGAUCGAGACGGCUAGACUCUGCAUUCAUGUGGCCUGUCGAGCAAUCUGGGCAAGUCUGAAAGACCACUACAUGAAGGUAAUGUCACACAGCUAUGAGGGACAUUGCUGUGCAUGUAAACUUAGCACUUAUUUCAUCAUAAGUUUAUACUUUGUUCCGAUGACAACAUAAAAAAAUAUAAUCUUAACUCUUAAUCAUGCAUAUUACAUGCACAAAUUCUUAGAGGUAGGUGAAUAUCAACUUUGUUGGAUGCGAAUUGAAUAUUGAUUAGUCAAAUGGAGAUUCAUAUAUAUACAACAGCAAUAUUUGUUUUGAUAUUACUAGGGGCCAUACUCCUAGUGGCUAGUGAAAAAAGAAGACGACUACCAGGGUUAAUUAGGAUCAAUUUCAAAAACGAUUGUCAUUAAGAAAACUGCACAAAUAGUCUGAAAAUUUUAGGGUCUGGUGGGAAACAAGAUUUCUAAGAAUGAAUAGCUGCGGUAUGACUGGAUUUGCAUAUGCACCGAAUAAAUGGUUGCCUAAAAAAUAUCAGGUUGUGGAAAAAAGAAGCUGCUGGAGGACUUGUGUGCUGUAGACAUGUGUCAUAGGGCCCUUUCCAAUAACAUCACUUAUUGUAGUGUAAAAGAUAGAACUGAUGCAUAACUAUGCUGCCAAAAAGGACUAAAUGACAGUCUACAAGCAAAAAUCGCAGGUUGUCACGUAGGCUUCAGCUGCAAAACCAAAAACAAACCCUGCAUUAACCAAUAUGUUUCUGCAUUGCUUCGAAAAGUUUUGUUGUUGUUUCAAUUUUGAUAAUUUGCGACACAACACUUUGUUUAGCAGACGGAGAACAGUAACAAAACUGUAACAGUUCAUUUUUGCGAAAUAUUUAUUUAGUUUUGAUACUUCAAAAUACACACCAAAUAGUUCAUUUUCAAAUACGAAUACAGUAGCUACUGUGUAAUUUCUAUCAUAUCUGAAACUUCAAAUGUUCGCCAACCUCUACAAAUUACUCGUUAUCUAGAAGCAGCCGGUCUUGACACUCCAAUGAUAGCAAUUACUUUAUUGUGAAUUAUAUUGCUCUACUUUUUACAAAUUUGGAGUAGCUAAAAAGACAAAUCACACACACUGCACAAUUGCAUAAUCACAACUGAAUUUCCACUAUUCCUUUUGACCAUCUCUAUUAAGAAACCAGAGGAGCAGUACUUGUUGUUUGGGGCAUUUCCAGGCACCAAGCACGUCUGAGUGGGCACAUAUUGCCAAUGGGUUCGCUGCGCAGUAGCAGUUCCCAAACUGCUUGGGAGCAGUUGAUGGAAAGCAUGUUGCCAUAGUUGCUCCUCGGAAUUCUGGCAGCUUGUACUACAACUACAAGGGCACCUUUUCAGUUGUACUCAUGGCUGUUGUCGACAGCAACUACAGUUCGUGUUGUCCACUUCUCUACUCUUGUGUCCUGUCUGCACGCCUCACCUCUUUUUUGCAUUUGAAAGUCCUACCUGUAUCUGCUUUUCGGCAAGACAGUCGUUGGGUGAUUUUCAACUACUACAUAGCCUGGCUCAGUGGUUGCAAGCCACACAGUAAACAGUCUGCUGGUCAGCCAGACCAUCACAUGCAUCAGCAGUUUGCGACCACUAAGU